rnacentral:rRNA from 1 species
GACGAACGCUGGCGGCGUGCUUAACACAUGCAAGUCGAACGGAAAGGCCCUGCUUUUGUGGGGUGCUCGAGUGGCGAACGGGUGAGUAACACGUGAGUAACCUGCCCUUGACUUUGGGAUAACUUCAGGAAACUGGGGCUAAUACCGGAUAGGAGCUCCUGCUGCAUGGUGGGGGUUGGAAAGUUUCGGCGGUUGGGGAUGGACUCGCGGCUUAUCAGCUUGUUGGUGGGGUAGUGGCUUACCAAGGCUUUGGCGGGUAGCCGGCCUGAGAGGGUGACCGGCCACAUUGGGACUGAGAUACGGCCCAGAAUCCUACGGGAGGCAGCAGUGGGGAAUAUUGCACAAUGGGCGGAAGCCUGAUGCAGCAACGCCGCGUGCGGGAUGACGGCCUUCGGGUUGUAAACCGCUUUCGCCUGUGACGAAGCGUGAGUGACGGUAAUGGGUAAAGAAGCACCGGCUAACUACGUG